rnacentral:rRNA from 1 species
GACGAACGCUGGCGGCGUGCUUAACACAUGCAUGUCGAACGGAAAGGCCCUGCUUUUGUGGGGUGCUCGAGUGGCGAACGGGUGAGUAACACGUGAGUAACCUGCCCUUGACUUUGGGAUAACUUCAGGAAACUGGGGCUAAUACCGGAUAGGAGCUCCUGCUGCAUGGUGGGGGUUGGAAAGUUUCGGCGGUUGGGGAUGGACUCGCGGCUUAUCAGCUUGUUGGUGGGGUAGUGGCUUACCAAGGCUUUGACGGGUAGCCGGCCUGAGAGGGUGACCGGCCACAUUGGGACUGAGAUACGGCCCAGACUCCUACGGGAGGCAGCAGUGGGGAAUAUUGCACAAUGGGCGGAAGCCUGAUGCAGCAACGCCGCGUGCGGGAUGACGGCCUUCGGGUUGUAAACCGCUUUCGCCUGUGACGAAGCGUGAGUGACGGUAAUGGGUAAAGAGGCACCGGCUAACUACGUG